rnacentral:miRNA from 1 species
CUCCUGGCUGGCGAGGUUGUACGACCUCGCCGGCCGAGAGGGAAUCCUCUCUGGUCAAUGAGAGUGUACAUUCUCACCGGCCGAGAGGGAUUCCUCCCGGCCGCUGAGAGUGUACUACUCUCACCGGCCAGAGGGAAUCCUCUUGGUCGACGAGGUUGUACAACCUCGUCGACCAGGAG